AUGGACUACGCCGCUCACGCCGCCGCCGCGGCGCCGCAGGCCGCCGAUCCCCGUGGGGCCUACCCUCCUGGCUACCCCUACGCCUACGCCUACCCGGUGUACCACUACCCCGAUCCCGCCGCCGCCGCCCCCUCCGCCCCCGCCCCCGCCCCCGCCUCCGCCGCCUCGUCCUCCUACUACUACUCCAACCCUGCCGCCCAGGCUAUCACGGGGGCGCAGUACAACCCGUACACCAGCCAAUACCACUACUACGGCGCCCCGGCGACGGACGGGGGGAGUGGCCUCGCGGAUUACUACUUCACCGCCGGCGAGGCCUCUCAGGCCCCGUCGGCGGCCCAGACAGCUCCGGCGGCGUCGGCGGCCGCGGCGGCUGGAAGAGAGGCGGUGAAGCACUUCGGGUUCGAUCCCCAACGCUACGCCCAGGUAGCAGCUGCGAAAGCUCCAAACGGAGUGGCACCAACAGCUGCAGCCACGGUCAUGCAUCAUGCUCAGUGGAAUGCCCAUUUUGGACAUCCUCUGCCGACAAACGUUCGGAGGAGUUUCAGGAAGAAAACUCCAAAAGUUGUGCAGCCAUUACUCUGUGAAGUCUGCAAGAUCCAGUGCGACACCAUGGAGGUUCUCUUGAUCCAUAAAACAGGUCAGAAGCACAAGAAGAAUCUGCAGAAGUUACAAGACGCGAUCACGCCUCAACCAGCAAAGCCUCCGAACAGCGGUGUUGCAGCAAACACAGCACCUCCUGCCGCCGCUGCCGCCACUGCUGAUGGUGUUGUGCCGGCUGUACAGCCAAAGAAGAACAAGAGCUCCAACGCGUCCCCAGCAGACUUGGAGGUGAAGAAGAGGCGGGUGAUCGAGGCUGGAGCGGCUCAUGGCGAAAUGAAGAUCUGCACAGCGUGCAACGUCGUCGUCAACAGCCAGAAGGUCUACGAGUUCCACCUGGCCGGGCAGAAGCACAAGGCCAAUGUACAGAAGCAGCAGAAGCGGCAGCAGCAGCAGCAGCAGCAAGUGCAGCUUCAGCAUGUCGCCUGA
rnacentral:rRNA from 1 species